rnacentral:rRNA from 1 species
UACGUAGGGUGCAAGCGUUAAUCGGAAUUACUGGGCGUAAAGCGUGCGUAGGCGGUUCGUUAAGUCUGUCGUGAAAUCCCAGGGCUCAACCUGGGAAUGGCGAUGGAUACUGGCGAGCUAGAGUGUGUCAGAGGAUGGUGGAAUUCCCGGUGUAGCGGUGAAAUGCGUAGAGAUCGGGAGGAACAUCAGUGGCGAAGGCGGCCAUCUGGGACAACACUGACGCUGAAGCACGAAAGCGUGGGGAGCAAACAGG